rnacentral:rRNA from 1 species
CAAACUUGGUCAUUUAGAGGAAGUAAAAGUCGUAACAAGGUCUCCGUUGGUGAACCAGCGGAGGGAUCAUUAAAGAGUUGCAAAACUCCCUUAAACCAUCGUGAACCAUACCUCUGAACAGUUGCUUCGGCGGGCCGGCCCUCCCCCGGGAGGCGCCGCCCAAGGCCCGCCGGAGGUACCCAAACCAUUGUCUUUACAGGCCUCUCUGAGUGGCAUACUUAAUAAGUCAAAACUUUCAACAACGGAUCUCUUGGUUCUGGCAUCGAUGAAGAACGCAGCGAAAUGCGAUAAGUAAUGUGAAUUGCAGAAUUCAGUGAAUCAUCGAAUCUUUGAACGCACAUUGCGCCCGCCAGUAUUCUGGCGGGCAUGCCUGUCCGAGCGUCAUUUCAACCAUCAAGCCCCGGGCUUGUGUUGGGGACCUGCGUCCGACGCAGGCCCCGAAAACCAGUGGCGGGCUCGCUGUCCACACCGAGCGUAGUAGCUAACCUCGCUCCGGAGUGGCGCGGGCGCCUGCCGUAAAACCCCCCAAUUUUACAAGGUUGACCUCGGAUCAGGUAGGAAUACCCGCUGAACUUAAGCAUAUCAAUAAGCGGAGG